rnacentral:rRNA from 1 species
GAUGAACGCUAGCGGGAGGCCUAACACAUGCAAGCCGAGCGGUAUUGUUUCUUCGGAAAUGAGAGAGCGGCGUACGGGUGCGGAACACGUGUGCAACCUGCCUUUAUCUGGGGGAUAGCCUUUCGAAAGGAAGAUUAAUACUCCAUAACAUAUUGAUUGGCAUCAAUUAAUAUUGAAAGCUCCGGCGGAUAGAGAUGGGCACGCGCAAGAUUAGCUAGUUGGUUAGGUAACGGCUCACCAAGGCGAUGAUCUUUAGGGGGCCUGAGAGGGUGAUCCCCCACACUGGUACUGAGACACGGACCAGACUCCUACGGGAGGCAGCAGUGAGGAAUAUUGGUCAAUGGGUGCAAGCCUGAACCAGCCAUCCCGCGUGAAGGACGACUGCCCUAUGGGUUGUAAACUUCUUUUGUAUAGGGAUAAACCUACCCUCGUGAGGGUAGCUGAAGGUACUAUACGAAUAAGCACCGGCUAACUCUGUGCCAGCCGCCGCCGUAACAC